AGAGUUUGAUCAUGGCUCAGGAUGAACGCUGGCGGCGUGCCUAACACAUGCAAGUCGAGCGAUCUCUUCGGAGAGAGCGGCGGACGGGUGAGUAACGCGUGGGUAACCUGCCCUGUACACACGGAUAACAUACCGAAAGGUAUACUAAUACGGGAUAACAUACGAAAGUCGCAUGGCUUUUGUAUCAAAGCUCCGGCGGUACAGGAUGGACCCGCGUCUGAUUAGCUAGUUGGUAAGGUAAUGGCUUACCAAGGCAACGAUCAGUAGCCGACCUGAGAGGGUGAUCGGCCACACUGGAACUGAGACACGGUCCAGACUCCUACGGGAGGCAGCAGUGGGGAAUAUUGCACAAUGGGCGAAAGCCUGAUGCAGCAACGCCGCGUGAGCGAUGAAGGCCUUCGGGUCGUAAAGCUCU
rnacentral:rRNA from 1 species